rnacentral:tRNA from 1 species
GGCUCCAUCGUCUAGGGGUUAGGACACAGCGUUCUCAACGCUGGAACACCGGUUCGAAUCCGGUUGGAGCUA